rnacentral:sRNA from 1 species
UUUUUGAAAUAAUACCGUAGACAGUAGGUGCAGUUAAUGCUUAAUUUCCUACCGAGGGAACUUAUUUAAUUAAGUCUUUUCGCCCUGUCUAUGAUGGGGCUUUUUUA